rnacentral:rRNA from 1 species
CGUCCGCAGGACGUGUUGAUAAAACAGAAUUUGCCUGGCGGCACUAGCGCGGUGGUCCCACCUGACCCCAUGCCGAACUCAGAAGUGAAACGCCGUAGCGCCGAUGGUAGUGUGGGGUCUCCCCAUGUGAGAGUAGGGAACUGCCAGGC